rnacentral:rRNA from 1 species
AAUAGAUACCCCGGUAGUCCACGCCGUAAACGAUGCAUACUAGUUUUUGGGGUAUCGACCCCCUGAGAAACGAAGCUAACGCGAUAAGUAUGCCGCCUGGGAAGUACGGCCGCAAGGCUAAAACUCAAAGGAAUUGACGGGGACCCGCACAAGCGGAGGAUGGUGUGGUUUAAUUUGACGAUACGCGAAGAACCUUACCGAGGCUUGACAUCCUGGGAACCUUCUGGAAACAGAGGGGUGCCUUCGGGAGCCCAGUGACAGGUGCUGCAUGGCCGUCGUCAGCUCGUGUCGUGAGAUGUUGGGUUAAGUCCCGCAACGAGCGCAACCCUUAUCGUAUGUUGUAUUUUUCAUGCGAGACUGCCCGGGCCAACCGGGAGGAAGGUGGGGAUGACGUCAGGUCAGCAUGGCCCUUACGCCUCGGGCUACACACGUCAUACAAUGGCCGGUACAACGCGCCGCGAAACCGCGAGGUGGAGCUAAUCGCAUCAAAACCGGUCCCAGUUCGGAUUGCAGGCUGCAACUCGCCUGCAUGAAGUCGGAUUCGCU